rnacentral:rRNA from 1 species
CAUGCCGCGUGUGUGAAGAAGGUCUUCGGAUUGUAAAGCACUUUAAGUUGGGAGGAAGGGCAGUUACCUAAUACGUGAUUGUUUUGACGUUACCGACAGAAUAAGCACCGGCUAACUCUGUGCCAGCAGCCGCGGUAAUACAGAGGGUGCAAGCGUUAAUCGGAAUUACUGGGCGUAAAGCGCGCGUAGGUGGUUUGUUAAGUUGGAUGUGAAAGCCCCGGGCUCAACCUGGGAACUGCAUCCAAAACUGGCAAGCUAGAGUAUGGUAGAGGGUGGUGGAAUUUCCUGUGUAGCGGUGAAAUGCGUAGAUAUAGGAAGGAACACCAGUGGCGAAGGCGACCACCUGGACUGAUACUGACACUGAGGUGCGAAAGCGUGGGGAGCAAACAGG